UACGUAGGUGGCAAGCGUUGUCCGGAAUUAUUGGGCGUAAAGAGCUCGUAGGCGGUCUGUCGCGUCUGGUGUGAAAAUCCAGGGCUUAACCCUGGACCUGCAUCGGGUACGGGCAGACUAGAGUGCGGUAGGGGAGAUCGGAAUUCCUGGUGUAGCGGUGAAAUGCGCAGAUAUCAGGAGGAACACCGGUGGCGAAGGCGGAUCUCUGGGCCGUAACUGACGCUGAGGAGCGAAAGCAUGGGGAGCGAACAGG
rnacentral:rRNA from 1 species